GAUGAACGCUGGCGGCGUGCCUAAUACAUGCAAGUCGAGCGAACAGACGAGGAGCUUGCUCCUCUGAUGUUAGCGGCGGACGGGUGAGUCACACGUGUAUCACCUACCUAUAAGACUGGGAUAACUUCGGGAAACCGGAGCUAAUACCGUAUAACAUGUUGAACCGCAUGGUUCAACAGUGAAAGACGGUCUUUCUGUCUCGUAUAGCUGGAUCCCCGCCGCAUUAGCUAGUUGGUAAGGUAACGGCUUAUCAAGGCAACGAGGCGUAGCCGACCGGAGAGGGUGAUCGGCCACAUUGGAACUGAGACACGGUCCAGACUCCUACGAGAGGCAGCAGAAUGGAAUCGUCCGCAGUGGGCGAAAGCAUGACGGAGCAACGCGAAGUGAGUGAAGGAGGUCUUCGGAGCGUAAUGCUCUGUUAUGAGGGGUGAACAAAUGUGUAAGUAGCUAUGCACGUCUUGACGGUACCUAGUCAGAAAGCACCGGCUAACUACGUG
rnacentral:rRNA from 1 species